UGCAAAGGUUUGCUUUCCAUUCAAACAUAAACGUUCUAGUUCUAAAGCAAUUGCAAUUUCUUUUUGCUGAAAAUGAAUCUUUCAUACGUAUGUUUUUUACUUAUGUACUUCGUAUUUUUCAUAAUUGGCAGCGCAUCGUCGCAAAACUGUUACUCUAACCCGGAGGCUUGUCAGAAAGGCGAAUGUUGUGUAAAAGUCCAAACAAUUGUUGGAAAGUGCAAGAAAUUAAAGGAAGUGAACAAUUAUUGUAACAUAAAGUCAAUUGGGGAAAUGGGUAAGAAACAUGUAUAUCAGGGUGCGUGUCCAUGUCAAGAAGGUCUUGAAUGUGUGGCCAAAGAUGGUAUAGUCGGAGAGGUAAUGGGAACAUGUAAAAAAAUAAAUGAUACAGAUUAAUUUUGAAAUCAUACCAUAUUGAUAAAGUGAAUAUUAAACACGUACGGAUAAUGUAAUAAACCGAAAUACUUUAACUAAAAGAA